GCCUGUAGCUCAGCAGCAGAGCGCUUGCCUAGCAUGUGUGAGGCACUGGGUUCGAUCCUCAGCAUGACA
rnacentral:tRNA from 1 species